ACCUGCCGUCUACUCUUGGACAGCCUUCUGAAAGGAAGAUUAAUACAAGAUGGCAUCAUGAGUCCGCAUGUUCACAUGAUUAAAGGUAUUCCGGUAGACGAUGGGGAUGCGUUCCAUUAGAUAGUAGGCGGGGUAACGGCCCACCUAGUCUUCGAUGGAUAGGGGUUCUGAGAGGAAGGUCCCCCACAUUGGAACUGAGACACGGUCCAAACUCCUACGGGAGGCAGCAGUGAGGAAUAUUGGUCAAUGGGCGAGAGCCUGAACCAGCCAAGUAGCGUGAAGGAUGACUGCCCUAUGGGUUGUAAACUUCUUUUAUAAAGGAAUAAAGUCGGGUAUGGAUACCCGUUUGCAUGUACUUUAUGAAUAAGGAUCGGCUAACUCCGUGCCAGCAGCCGCGGUAAUACGGAGGAUCCGAGCGUUAUCCGGAUUUAUUGGGUUUAAAGGGAGCGUAGAUGGAUGUUUAAGUCAGUUGUGAAAGUUUGCGGCUCAACCGUAAAAUUGCAGUUGAUACUGGAUAUCUUGAGUGCAGUUGAGGCAGGCGGAAUUCGUGGUGUAGCGGUGAAAUGCUUAGAUAUCACGAAGAACUCCGAUUGCGAAGGCAGCCUGCUAAGCUGCAACUGACAUUGAGGCUCGAAAGUGUGGGUAUCAAACAGGAUUAGAUACCCUGGUAGUCCACACGGUAAACGAUGAAUACUCGCUGUUUGCGAUAUACUGCAAGCGGCCAAGCGAAAGCGUUAAGUAUUCCACCUGGGGAGUAC
rnacentral:rRNA from 1 species